ACGGGUGAGUAACACGUGGGAAUCUACCCAUCCUUACGGAACAACUCCGGGAAACUGGAGCUAAUACCGUAUACGCCCUUCGGGGGAAAGAUUUAUCGAGGAUGGAUGAGCCCGCGUUGGAUUAGCUAGUUGGUGGGGUAAAGGCCUACCAAGGCGACGAUCCAUAGCUGGUCUGAGAGGAUGAUCAGCCACAUUGGGACUGAGACACGGCCCAAACUCCUACGGGAGGCAGCAGUGGGGAAUAUUGGACAAUGGGCGCAAGCCUGAUCCAGCCAUGCCGCGUGAGUGAUGAAGGCCCUAGGGUUGUAAAGCUCUUUCACCGGAGAAGAUAAUGACGGUAUCCGGAGAAGAAGCCCCGGCUAACUUCGUGCCAGCAGCCGCGGUAAUACGAAGGGGGCUAGCGUUGUUCGGAUUUACUGGGCGUAAAGCGCACGUAGGCGGAUCGAUCAGUCAGGGGUGAAAUCCCAGAGCUCAACUCUGGAACUGCCUUUGAUACUGUCGAUCUGGAGUAUGGAAGAGGUGAGUGGAAUUCCGAGUGUAGAGGUGAAAUUCGUAGA
rnacentral:rRNA from 1 species